rnacentral:rRNA from 1 species
ACAGAUCGUUCAGAGUUUGAUCCUGGCUCAGGACGAACGCUGGCGGCGUGCCUAACACAUGCAAGUCGAACGGAGUAGAGACUCGGUUUUUACUUAGUGGCGAACGGGUGAGUAACGCGUGAGAAACCUGCCUUUCAGUGGGGGACAACAGUUGGAAACGACUGCUAAUACCGCAUAAUGUCAUUUAGGGGCAUCCCUGAAUGACCAAAGAUUUAUUGCUGAAAGAUGGUCUCGCGUCUGAUUAGCUAGUUGGUGAGGUAACGGCUCACCAAGGCGACGAUCAGUAGCCGGUCUGAGAGGAUGAACGGCCACAUUGGGACUGAGAUACGGCCCAG